CUGCUGCUGAAGGCCAGGUAACAACACUGCCUGGCUGGAGGGCUGCUGGUAUCAUCUGGAGAUACAGAGCUGAGGUGGGGAGGAUGCUCUGGGUACAUGCCCCUGAAGCCACUCUCAAGGUCUCCAUCUCUGGUUUGUCUAGAAAUUUUGUCAUCUCUUCAGUUCUGGAUUUAGACUGUGCAAGCAGGCAAGGUAGCAACUGCUGAAGAGAGAAGCUCCAGAAGAAGGUGCAAAAGUAUCUCCAUUCACCUGUUGGCAGCUGCUGGCUGGCAGGCGAAGCCUUAUUUUACUUGCCAAACGUGGUUUAGCUCUAUCAGAAACAGGAAAGUUCUGCUGCUGCAGAGGAGGUUUGGACAUGGAGGUGCUCAAAGUCUUGCUGACAGAACAGGGUCAAAGAUGCUGCACUGGACACGAGGCCUGAGUCACAGGAUAUUAACUUGCCCAGAAUCAUGCAGUAAGGAAUGCAUCCAGAACUGCUGACUCCCCAUCCAUAAUCUCAUGAAACCUUUCCCUUAAUGCAUUAUGCUCAGGAAGCUAUUAUUGGUAUAGAUUUUCCUGACUUAGUUCUGUAUGGUAUAAAUGAAUAUAUUCAUGAGUAGUACAAAUAAAUAUAUUCAAGGAAUAGAGAAACUUACUGCGCUCAUUAAAACUGCCUUUUGACAUGUUCUAGUACUUUGGAUUUUCUAGCAACUCUGAAGCAAUAAUACAAUGUGUAUUUAAGGCCCAGUAUUGUCAAGGGGUACCUUUUGUCCUUCACAUGUAGAAACAAUCAAAGACUCUGCAUCAUAAGGGAGUGCAAUGAGAACCAUACAGAAACAAUUUCUAUAUAUUGUAACAAGUAUGUGUCCCAUGGCUGGUCCACUCAUUGGUCCACCCACUUGACUUUGGGCAAGCUACCCAUUUAACUUUUCUGCCAUGCCUUGAUGUUAAUAUAUAUCUGAUGUAAUCAGGUGAGAGGCUGUCCAUUUGUGUGCCCUGAUGACAAGGGCCUUACGCAUGACUCCUACUUCCCCUUAUGUCCAAUGCCUCACAGAUGUUCCUCUGGUGGCUCACACUGGGACCCAAACUCUGGAGUCUCACUGGGACUCUCACUUUCCACCAGAGCUCAUGGUCCCAGUGGCCUCAACCUGGGCUGCAAGCCCCACACACUGGACUCCAAGCCUGCACACUCAGGGCCUCCAAGCCCAUCUUAUGGGAUUGGGGCUCCAAGCCUCAUCCCCUUGCCC